UACAGAGGGUGCAAGCGUUAAUCGGAAUUACUGGGCGUAAAGGGUGCGUAGGUGGUUAAUUAAGUCAGAUGUGAAAUCCCCGGGCUCAACCUGGGAAUUGCAUUUGAAACUGGUUGACUAGAGUACGGUAGAGGGAAGUGGAAUUUCCGGUGUAGCGGUGAAAUGCGUAGAUAUCGGAAGGAACAUCAGUGGCGAAGGCGACUUCCUGGACCGUUACUGACACUGAGGCACGAAAGCGUGGGGAGCGAACAGG
rnacentral:rRNA from 1 species